rnacentral:misc_RNA from 1 species
UGCAAGUGCUCACGGAACCCAGAG